GAUGAACGCUGGCGGCGUGCCUAAUACAUGCAAGUCGAGCGAACAGACGAGGAGCUUGCUCCUCUGACGUUAGCGGCGGACGGGUGAGUAACACGUGGAUAACCUACCUAUAAGACUGGGAUAACUUCGGGAAACCGGAGCUAAUACCGGAUAAUAUAUUGAACCGCAUGGUUCAAUAGUGAAAGACGGUUUUGCUGUCACUUAUAGAUGGAUCCGCGCCGCAUUAGCUAGUUGGUAAGGUAACGGCUUACCAAGGCGACGAUGCGUAGCCGACCUGAGAGGGUGAACGGCCACACUGGAACUGAGACACGGUCCAGACUCCUACGGGAGGCAGCAGUAGGGAAGCGUCCGCAAUGGGCGAAAGCCUGACGGAGCAACGCCGGGUGAAUGAUGAAGGUCUUCGGAUCGUAAAACGCUGUUAUUAGGGAAGAACAAUUGUGUAAGUAACUAUGCACGUCUUGACGGUACCUAAUCAGAAAGCCACGGCUAACUACGUG
rnacentral:rRNA from 1 species